rnacentral:piRNA from 1 species
UGCUGACAGAUUUAUUUUCAGAAAAGCC